AAAAAAGCAAAAAUAAUGUUUAUAAUAUGCAUGCUUUUAUAUAAAUAAAAUACAUUUAUACGUUAUAUACUAAUAAAACAAGAAACAACAACAAAAUUACUAUUAUCCUAAAAAGAGAAAAAAGAGAAAAAAAAAAAAAAAAAAAAUCAACAACAACAACAACAACAAUGAGCGUUUAUAAUUUUUAUCAAAAUCUAAUCCCCAGCCAAUCGAUAAGAACUGCUUUAUGUUGUGAUAUAAAAGGUAAUGGGAAAAAGUAUUUAAUAUACGCAAAUAAUAAUUCAUUAAAUGUUUGUUCUGUUGAUAAGGAUGGCUAUACAGAUGAUCAUAGUAAACAUUUCAUUUUUUCUGAUAUACUAGAGAUAAGAGAAUAUAAACCACGAAAAUUAAUUGAUACAAAUAAAAAUAAAAAUAUUAAAUCUUAUAUAUUUUUAUUAACAAAAGAAUAUAAAUUAUUAUUAUUAGAAUUUAAUACAAAAUUAAAUGAAUUUAUUACAUUAUCUAAAACAAAUUUACGAGAUGUAAUUGGAUUACAUAUAGAUGAAGAAAUAAUUUUUUUAUUAAAUGAAAAAAAUAGUGCAAUUGUAUUUUAUGCAUAUAAAAAUAUAAUGAAAUAUAUUUUAUUAGACUAUGACGAUUAUUUUAAUUUAAAUCAUUUAUAUACAGUUAGGUUGGAAGAUGGUUAUGUUAUAGACAUAAUAUUUUUAAAUUAUUACGAUGAAGAAAAUGAAGAAAAUGAAGAAAAUGGAGAAAAUGAAGAAAAUGAAGAAAAUGGAGAAAAUGGAGAAAAUGGAGAAAAUAAAGGAAAUGGAGAAAAUGGAGAAAAUAAAGAAAAUAAAAAAAAUAAAGAAAAUAAAAAAAAUAAAGAAAAUAAAAAAAAUAAAGAAAAUAAAGAAAAUAAAAAAAAUAAAGAAAAUAAAAAAAAUAAAGAAAAAUAUGGAGCAGAUUAUUGUUUAUGUAAUAACAGUAAUGUUAAUGUUAGUAGUGGAAAUUAUAUGUACAAUGGUCAUAUGUAUUAUCCUAGUAACGAGUUGGAUGUUAAGGAAAGUACAAAAAAACAAAAAAAUAAAAAAUCACAUUCUUUUAUUAAUUCACCAAUGAAUAAUAAUAAUAAUAAAAAUUAUCCUAUUUGUAUUGAUGACAAUAAUAAUGCAAGUUCUAUUGUAAAUAAAAAAAAUAUUAACAAUAAUAACAAUAAUAAUAACAAUAAUAAUAACAAUAAUAAUAAUAUUAUAUAUAACAAUAUAAAUAAUAAAAAAACGUACGAUUUUGAAAAUAUGCAAAUUGAACAAACAUAUAAUGAUGAUAGUACAUCUAUAAAAAACAUGACUAAAAAUAAAUACGAUAAAUUAAUUAAUGUAAGUAGUAAUAGUGUAAGUAGUAAUAAUGUAAGUAGUAAUAAUGUAAACCAAAGUUUUAUUGAUGUAUGCGAUUAUAAUAGUAGAAAAGAUAACAACUUACAUAGUACACAACUUUGUAAUUGUAAAGAUUAUACUUGCGAAUAUAUUGAUAUAUCUAAUAAACAUGAAACAAAUGAUUUAUUUAAAGGAAGUGAAGUUUUGGAUAACACUGGUUUAAAAGCGAGUGUUAAAAAGAACACAAAUAAACGUUGUAAAAAACGAAAACAACACAAUGGUAAUAUAAAUUUAUUUGUUUGUAUUUUAUAUGAUGCUACAAAACAAAUAUCACCUACAUACGAACGUUAUAUUCAAGUUAUUCGAUUAUAUUCAUUAAACGAGAUUAAAAACGAAAAUUCAUGUGAAUGUUGUAAUUUUUAUAAAUCGCAAGUAACUAAUACAUGUAAUUUGAAUAAUUCACCUAAGUAUAAUUUAUAUCAUAAUAAUGAUGUAUUUAUAUCUCCAAUGUAUUUUAAUCCAGUAAUUGUAGAUGCUAGUAUUAAUAAACUGUUUAGUAUCGCAAAAAAUAGAAUAUUACUUAUAGGUUUUCAAUUUAUUAAUUAUAUAAAUUUAGCAAUAGAUAAAGAAUAUAUUUUUUUUCUUAGUUCGGAAUUAAGAACAAUUAGAUGUAUUGAACAAAUUCAAAAAAAUAAAUAUAUUUUAGCAGAUGACUAUGGUGAUCUUUUUAUUUUAACAUGUGUUUUUAGUAAUGGUUUAAGUCCAACUAAAAUGGAUUUACAAGAAAAAGGUUUUACGUUUGGUAACAAAAAAAAUGAUGAAAAUGAUGAAAAUGGUGAAAAUAGGGAAAAUAGGGAAAAUAGAGAAAAUGGAGAAAAUGGAGAAAAUUGGGAAAUUUGUGAAAAUGAGAAAAGUGGUAAGAGUGGAAAGAACGAUAAUGGUUAUAUUAGUGUAGGUAAAAUACGGUGUCCUAGAAAUAAUAGUUAUACCUUUUUAAACAAUUACGAACCUAAUUGUUGUAAAUAUAAUGGGUAUGAUCGUGAAAAACAUUGUCCCAAAUGUAUUAAUUAUCAAUCUAGUGAAAUAAAUUUUAUAAACUUACAAUUUAUAGGCAUAUCUUCACGAUCGAAUGUUAUUGUUUCUAUUUUCUCGAAUAUAUUAUUUUUAGGAUCAGAAGUUAGUAAUAGUUAUUUAUUGCGUAUGUAUAAUCAUCCAGUACAGGCUUAUAAAAAUUUUACACCAGUUGAGCCUGACAAUAUACAUAGCGAUGAGGAUAUAACAUCUGAUAAGGAAUUUAUUAAAAAAAAUGUUCAUCAGUAUGUUAGCGACUUAAGUACAAACCAUAGUAAUUACACUACUAUAACUACUAGGAGUGAUAAUAAUAAUGUAGUUCCUUUUUUUCAAAUGAAAAAAAAAAUGCAAAAAAAUUUUAGUAGUGGGUUAGAUGGGGUUACUCCCGUCUCUACUAUUAACAAUUAUGCUAGCACAAGCAACGCAACCAAUUACAAUAGUGAACUUAAAUAUAACAACGUAACUAGCUAUAACAACAUAAUUAACAAUAAUAUCGGAAACAAUGUUAUCUACCCAAAUACAACUGAUAAAAGCUUUGCCGGUUGGCUACUCAACAAGUAUGUAAAUAAACAAAACCAGAAUUUAAUUAACGAGGAUGGAACGUGUUUUAAUAAAAGUGAAAUCUUAAAAACUGGAGAGCAUACAAAAUUUACAUACCCUGCUAUUAAAAACUUGUUAAAUGUUGAUAUUUUACAACAAAUGAAUGAUAUAAUUAAAAUAAAUAAUAACACAAACACUAACAAUAACACUAACACUAAUAUUAAUGUGAAUGCUACAAAUGAAGAAAUUAACAAUUUAUUUUUUAAACAGAAAAUGGAAGAGCUUCGUUUUUUGCAAUAUACACAAACAGAUUAUACAGAUACAAAUUUAUCAUGUAAUUGUAUUUUAUCUACUAAAACUGAAUCAGAUAUUAGUACAGGUUUAAGUACAGGUUUAAGUACAGGUUUAAGUACAGGUUUAAGUACAGGUUUAAAUACAGGUUUAAGUACAGGUUUAAAUACAGGUUUAAUUACAGGUUUAAGUACAGGUUUAAGUACAGGUUUAAAUACAGGUUUAAAUACAGGUUUAAGUACAGGUUUAAAUACAGGUUUAAGUACAGGUUUAAGUACAGGCAUAAGUACAGGUUUAAAUACAGGUUUAAAUACAGGUUUAAUUACAGGUUUAAGUACAGGUUUAAAUACAGGUUUAAGUACAGGUUUAAAUACAGGUUUAAGUACAGGUUUAAGUACAGGUUUAAAUACAGGUUUAAGUACAGGUUUAAAUACAGGUUUAAUUACAGGUUUAAGUACAGGUUUAAGUACAGGUUUAAAUACAGGUUUAAAUACAGGUUUAAAUACAGGUUUAAGUACAGGUUUAAAUACAGGUUUAAAUACAGGCAUAAUUAAAGUACCCAAUUCGGUUAUAAAUAUUUUAAAUAAUAAAAACAAUUUGAAUGCAAAUAAUAUAUCAAAAUAUUACGAAUGUUAUAAUAAAAUUAUAAAUAAAAAAAGUAAAAAAAAAAAAAAAAAUAAUUUUUUUAUUGAAGUGUUAUCAGUUAUUAAGAAUAUGGGUCCGAUUUUAGAUUUUUGUAUAAUACAAAAUAAAGACAAUGAAAAAGAAAUAAUAACAUGUAAUAGUUAUGGUAGAACUGGUUGUAUAUCUAUUAUAAAAAGUGGUUUAAAAGCAAAUAUUAUUUCUAAAUUAGAUAUAAGUAAUGUAACUAAUUUGUUUGUAAUUAAAUAUAUUAUACAUAUUAAAAAAAAAAAUAAUAAUAAUAAUAAUAAUAUAAAAGGAAAAGAUCAAUCAUAUAAAAAUAAAAAUAAAAGAGAGAAAGAGGAAGGAGUAAUUCCAACUGAAUCGGAUAUGUUUAAUAUUUCAUCUGGUGAGAAAAUAAAAAAAAUAAAAACCAAAAAUAAAGUAUCGAAUGGUGAUUGUAGUAAAAAUAGUGAUAGUAAUAUACCUGGUAGUGGUAUUAAUAAUACAACUGAACAUGUUAGAAAUAAUAAAGAACCGUUAGAAUUCCAAGUUUUUGCAUAUCUAGACCAUCAAAAAAGUGUUGAAAUUAAAAAUAUUGAUUUAUCUUUUUUAAAUACGUAUUAUUUUAAAAACGAACAUGAAAUAAAUGUUUUAAAAUAUGCAAAUUUUAUUUAUUUUCAUAUUUUUUUUAUUUGUAUAUCAUAUGGUUUUUAUACAAAAGUUGUGGGUGUAUGUAGAGAUACAAAUGAAGUAACAAGUCAAAAAUGGAAAUCGGCUGAUUCUUUUUUUUCUAAUAUGUAUACCCAAGAACCGGCAAAUAUAUGGCCAAAUAUACCGGCAAAUAUAUCGGCAAAUAUACCGGCAAAUAUAUCGGCAAAUAUACCGGCAAAUAUAUGGCCAAAUAUACCGGCAAAUAUACCGACAAAUAUAUGGCCAAAUAUACCGGCAAAUAUACCGACAAACAUACUGACAAACAUACCGACAAACAUACCGACAAACAUACCGACAAACAUACNNNNNNNNNNAUACCGACAAACAUACCGACAAACAUACCGACAAACAUACCGACAAAACAAAACUACGAAUUUUCAAAUUACAUAA
rnacentral:lncRNA from 1 species